GAUGGACGCUGGCGGCGUGCCUAAUACAUGCAAGUCGAGCGAACGGACGAGAAGCUUGCUUCUCUGAUGUUAGCGGCGGACGGGUGAGUAACACGUGGAUAACCUACCUAUAAGACUGGGAUAACUUCGGGAAACCGGAGCUAAUACCGGAUAAUAUUUUGAACCGCAUGGUUCAAAAGUGAAAGACGGUCUUGCUGUCACUUAUAGAUGGAUCCGCGCUGCAUUAGCUAGUUGGUAAGGUAACGGCUUACCAAGGCAACGAUGCAUAGCCGACCUGAGAGGGUGAUCGGCCACACUGGAACCGAGACACGGUCCAGACUCCUACGGGAGGCAGCAGUAGGGAAUCUUCCGCAAUGGGCGAAAGCCUGACGGAGCAACGCCGCGUGAGUGAUGAAGGUCUUCGGAUCGUAAAACUCUGUUAUUAGGGAAGAACAUAUGUGUAAGUAACUGUGCACAUCUUGACGGUACCUAAUCAGAAAGCCACGGCUAACUACGUG
rnacentral:rRNA from 1 species